CGGGUACCUGACAUACAGUAGGUACUAUAUAAAGACAUUAUUUGAACCACUUCUUUGAGAAAACCUCAGUUGAACGCAUUUAUGGAAGUGUGACAACGAAUUACAAGUGGAACAACACAUAGAACUGACUGUUUUUUUCACUAUUUCACAGAACUGGGAUGGCCGAGGAUUUGAUAAUGGAGAUCAGAAUGUUAAGGAAGUCAAUGAGAAGAAAGCCUUGAAGAGUUCCCUGACAAGUUAGAAAGUUCAAGAACUGGAGGCAGAACUGGGCCCUGAGGCUUUAAGCUGCCUCUUAACAUUUCCCACGAACAACAUUUGGACUCCACUGAUUCUGUGGAGAAAGACUCUUAUUGGACAGCUCUCCUUUUUGAGCAAGCUUUUCAAUCUAUAAACUGGCUGCCAGUGGAUGAAGUACCCUCUCCCUCCCCCUGUCCAAUGUGUGAGGCCAGAGGUGAAGCAGGAUCAUCUGUACUGUACGUGGUGCUAAAGACUGCUCACUAGUAGGUAUUGUGUUGUGAGCUAAGUGACUCUCUAUAUGAUACUUUUGAACAUUUAUGGAAAAAUAAGGAAUAUAAUGAUGCCAGUUGGUUGCUCCUAAUGUUACUGGAUAUGUGGUGGAAAAAAAAGAAAUGAGUUCAGUUCAGGGAGUUGAAUUCCCAGGUGAAGAAUCACAAAUGACCUAAGAGCUUCCAGGUGUGCCCCGAAGGACAACCUUAUCUCCAAUAGUUACAGGGCUGAAAAUGCUGAAAGCUGAUUGCAGAACCUCAUCUGAUGAUUUGCUAAAUUACAGCACAAGUUGAAAUCCCAGCCUCCCAGGGUGUCUACUGUUAAAGUGAGGGCAUUGAUUGGGAAAGAAUGGGAUCCUGUAAUUUGAGAUAGGGCCAUGUGGGAAGACCCUGAUGAACCUGGAGAUACUGAGCCCCUAAAUUCUGAUGAAUCUUCUUUGCCAGAGGGAAAUAUCUCCCCAGCCCCAGUAGAAGAGGCCUCCCCAGCCCUACUGACAGCAGCCUCCCCAGUGUCAGUAGUAUUGGCCUGUCUACCUCUGUCUGAGGGGUUUAACCCUGCAUUGCUUGAGGAAAUGGUAAUGGCCUCCCCUGAGAGAACUGCCAUGCAAGACAAUUCUGAUUCUCCACAGGACUCACCAUGACCACCCUUCUUUGCUUCUAGACCUAUGACUGGACUCAAGUCCCAGCAGGGCUCUAAAGGUGAGGUACAAAGUAUGACCCAUAACAGGGUGCACUGAAUUCCAAAAGAACUACUUGGGGUUAUUAGUUCAUACAAGCAGAAAUCCAGGAAACGUGUGGGAAUUAUGGAUGUGGAACAUGUGUGGGAAUUAAGGGUGUGGAACAAUGGUAGAAGGAACAUAAAAUUGGAUCAGGCUGAAUUUAUUGAUAUGGGCUCAGUAAGCAGAGAUUCUGCAUUCAGUGUUGUGGCUUGGCAGAAAGGGCUCUAACUGGUUGGGUGAAGCAAAGAUGAAACGAUGGUCCACCAUAAAUGAAUUGGAAAUGCCUGACUUCCCUUAGUUUAAUAGAGAGGAAGAAAUUCAAAGGCUUAAGGAGAUUGGAAGAUUGGAGUGGAUUUGUCAUUUACCUUACUCACCUAUGCUGGAAGGGUCCAGAAGACAUACCUUUCACCAGUACUUUGAGAAAUACUUUGAAUAAAUAAAUAAAUAAAUGUCAAGGGGAUACCCAGCAUCUUUGUCGAGCUUUGUGGUUGCUCUUUUUUGUAGGCCCCACCUUACAAUGGGAACCACAGUCAUUCGAUUGGAAAACCUAAAUGCAAUGGGAAUAAUUAGAUCCCAGAAUAUGGCAGGAGUCAAGUGGUGGCAGUGGCACUUAACCACCAAAAGCAAAGUGGGCAUGGUUAUUAUAAUGAACAGCAGAGUCAAAGCAGCAACCAGAAUAGUCUGACUCCAGGAGACGUAUGGUGUUGGCUAGUUAAUCAUGAUGUUUCUCAAAGUGAAAUAGAUAGGAAGCCUACUAAAUUCUUAAUUGAUCUGUAUAAGCAGAACAUUUCUAGGCCAAAAAACAAAAGUCUAACUCAAAUCAUAAAAACAGAGAGAUGUGGCCCCUCAAUCAAUUCCCAGAUGAGCCAGUUUACAGACCUGGAACCCCAUGAGUGAAGGGGAGAUUAGGUCCCCUGGAAGAACCACGGCAUAAUACUAAAAAUUUAUACUGUUAAAUCUUUCUCCUAUCCUUCUUCAAAGGGACCUAUGGCCUUUUACAAGGAUAAUUGUACACUGAGGAAAAGCAAAUAAUCAGACCUUUUGGGUCUACUGGACACUGGCUUUGUCUAUCCACUGAUUACAGGAGACCUAAAACAUCACAGUGGUCUUCUCAUUAGAGUAGGGGCUUGUGGAAGUCAGAUGAUCAAUAAAAUUUUAGCUCAGAUUUGUCUUACAGUGAGUCCAAUGGGUCCUUGAACCUAUCCUGUGUUUUUUUUUUUUUCUCCAGUUCUGGAAUGCAUAAUUAAAAUAGACAUAUUUAGCAGCAGGCAGAAUUCCUCCAUUCAUUCCCCGACCUGUGAAGUGAGGGCUAUUUGAUAGAAAAGGCCAAAUUGAAGUCAUUAGAACUACCUAUACUUAGAAAAAUAGCAAAUCAGAAGCAAUUCUACAUGCAGAAAUUAGUGCUACUGUCAGAAACUUAAAAGAUGCAGGCAUGGUGAUUUCCACCAUAUCUCCAUUCAACUAUCCUGUUUGGCCUAUGAUAGACAGGUCUUGGAGAAAGACAGUGGAUUAUCAUAAACCUAACCAAGUGAUGACUCCAGUUGCAGAUUCUGUACCAGAUAGGAUUCCAUUUAUUGAGAAAAUCAACUAUCUCCUGGCACUGAUAUGCAGCUAUUGAUCUGGGAAAUGGCUUUUUCGUCAUCCCUGUCCGUGGGGACCAGCAGAAGGGACCAGCAGAAGCAGUUUGCUUUUAGUUGGCAAGGCCAGCAACAUACUUUCACUCUCCUACCUCAAGGGUAUGUCAACUCUACAGUUCUAUGUCAUAAUUUAGUUUUCAUGGAUCUUGAUCACCUUUCGCUCCCACAAGAUAUCACUCUGGCCCAUUACAUUAAUCACAUUUUGCUGAUUGGACCUGGUGAAUGAGAAUUAGCAACCACUCUAGACUUAUUGAUAAGACCUUUAAGUGUCAGAAGUUGGGAAAUAAAUCUGACAAAAAUUCGAGGGCUUUCUAAUUCAAUGCAAUUUCUAUGUGUCCAAUGGUGUGGGGCAUAUGGAGAUAUCCCUUCUAAGGUAAAGGUUAAAUUGUUGCAUCUGGCACCACCGGCAACCAAGGAAGAAACACAGCACGUAUUGGGCCUCUCUGGAUUUUGGAGGCAACAUAUUCCACAUUUGGGUGUGUUUUGCUGAGCCAUUUACAAAACGACCUGAAAAGCUUCUAGUUUUGACUGCAGCCUAGAACAAAGCAAGGCUCUGCAAUAGGUCCAGGUUACUGUGCAAGCUGCUCUGUUACUUGAGUCAUAAGAUUUAACGUAUCCAAUAGUGCUUGAUAUAUUAGUGGUGAACUGAGAUUCUGUUUGAAGCAUUUGGCAGGUCCAUAUAAGUGUAUUGGAGUGCAGGCCUUUAGGAUUUUGGAGGAAGUCCCUGCCAUCUUCUGCAAAUAACUACUUUUUUUUUUCUUGAGAGACAGUUCUUGGCCUGCUACUGGGCAUCAGUAGAAACUGAAUGUUCAACCAUGUGGCACCAAGUUACCAUGUGACCUGAGCUGCCCAUAAUAAACUGGGUGUUAUCUGAUCACCAAGCCAUAAAGUUAGGCAUGCACGCAGCACUUCGUCAUCAAUGGAAGUGGUAUGUAUGUGAUCCAGCUCUAACAGUCUCUGAAGGCAUAAGUACCUUACACAAAGAAGUUGCCCAAUUGCCCAUGGUCCUCCCUUCUGCUACACUGCUUUCUCUCUCCCAGACUGUACCUAUGGCUUCAUGGAGAGUUCCCCAUGAUCAUUUGGCAGAGGAACAGAAGAAUUAGGCCUGGUUUACAGAUGUUUCUGCAUGAUAUGCAGCACCACCCAGAAGUGGACAGCUGUAGCACUACAACCACUCUCUGGGACAUCCCUGAAGGACAGUCAUGAAGGGAGCUCCUCACAGUGGACAAAAAUUCGGGCAGUGCACCUGGUUGUUCCCUUUGCUUAGAGGGAGAAAUGGCAAGAUAUGUGAUUAAAUACUAAUGUAUAGGCUGUAGCCAAUGGUGGUUUGGCCGGAUGGUCAGGAACUUGGAAGGAACUUAAUUGGAAAAUUGGUGACAAAUAAAUUUAGGAGAGAGAAAUGUGGAUAGAUGUCUCCAAAUCAGCAAAACUUGUGAAGAUAUUUAUGUUUCAUGUGAACGAUCACCAAAAGGUGACCACAGCAGAGGAGAACUUUAAUAAUCAAGUAGAUAUGAUGACCCUUUCUGUGAAUGCUACUCAGCCUCUUUCCCCAGCCACUCCUGUCAUUGCCCAAUGGGUUCAUGACCAAAGUGUCCGUGGUGGCAGACAUGGAGGUUAUUCACAGGAUCAGAAACAUGGACUUUCACUCACCAAGGCUGACCUAGCUAUGGCCACUGCUAAAGGUCCAAUCUGCCAGUAGCAGAGACUAACACUGAACCUCCAACGUGGCACCAUCCCUAGGUGAUCAGCCAGCUACCUGGAGUCAUGUUUAUUACAUUGGCCUGCUGCCAUUAUGAAAGGGGCAGUGUUUUGUUCAGGAAUAGAUACUUCUGUUUGCCUUCCGUGUACACAGUGCUUUUGCCAAAACUACCAUCUGUGGACUUGCAGAAUGCUUUAUCCACCAUCAUGGCAUUCCACACAGCAUUGCGUGUGAUUAAGGAACUCACUCCACAGCAAAAGAAGUGCAGCAAUAAAUGCACGCUUAUGUAAUUCACUGGUUUAACCAUGUUCCCCACUAUUCUGAAGCAGAUGGCUUGAUAAAAUGCUGCAAUACCUUUGUGAAGAGUCAGUUAUAGUGCCAGUUAGGUGGCAGUACCUUGAGUGCUGGGACAAGGUUCUCUGUGCCCUAAGUCAGUGUCCAAUAUUUGGUGUUGUCUCUUCCAUAGACUGGAUUCAUGGGUUGAAGAAUCAAAGGGUGGAAAUGGAAGUGGAACCACUCACCAUUACCCUUAGUGACCAGCUAGCAAAAUUUUUGCUUCCCAUUCCUAUGACUUUAUAUUCUGCCGGCCUAAAGGUCUCUAGCUGUGAGGGAGAAAUGCUUUCACCAGGAGACAUAAUGAUGCUUCCAUUGAACUGAAAGUUAAGACUGCUGCCCAGUCAGUUUGGGCUCCUUCUGGUUUUGAGUCAACAGGUAAAGAAUGGAAGUAUGGUAUUGACUGAGGUGAUUGAUUCAGACCACCAAGAGGAAUUGGACUAUUAUUCCAUAAUGGAGAUGGAGAAGAGUAUGUCCAGAAAACAGGAGAUCCUUCAGGUAUGUUUUAGUGUCACCAUGCGCUGUGAUUAUGGUCAAUAUAAAACUAUAACAACUCAAUGACCAGGACUCAAGGUCUACUAAUGACCAGGCCCUUCAGCUUUGGAUCACCCUGCCAGGUGAAAAACCAUGACCAGCUGAGGUGUUUGCUGAAGGCAAAGGGAAUACAGAAUGAAUAGUAGAAGAAGGUAUUUAUAAAUACCAGCUAAGAAUAAGUGACCAGUUACAGAAAUGAGGGCUAUAACUGCCAUGAGUGUUUUCUCCUUGUUUUGUAGUGAAUAUAUUUGUGUGGAUAUAUAUGUAUAUAUAUAUUAUAU